AUCCAGACGAUAGAAGAACAAAAAGUAAAAUUUCCCCUAUUUUUGGGUUAGAUCUGAAACGCGAACGAAAACCCUAACUCUAGUCGCCGCCGCGGCCGCCUCUUUCAAUUGUAGGCGGCUGUCUCGCGAUAGAGAGGGAAAUUCGUCAAGAUUCAGAUAUAGGGCUCACCGGCGACGACGUACGACGACGAUGAAGACGAGGAUACGAGUACCGGGAUCUCAGGAUCUUACACUGGAUUGGGAGGUGUUGGAAAAAUAUCAGGUGAGAAUUUUUGAUGAUUUUCUUCCGUCACUUUCCUUCUGAUACGAAAAAGUUACCGCAUAAAAGCUAGCCAUUUUAAAAAAAUUAACAGAUGCUCUUAUGCUUGAAAAUCCUUCUCCGGCUCCCCCUCAUCCCAGUCGAAAAGCACACACCAUGGAUGUGGUUAGAAUUCCAUCAAAUAUUGGCUACUUCCGGGACCUCCUCCAAAAUCGUAUUUCUUCUACAUUGUUAGAGGAUCAUCGGACAUCUCUUCGAGAUACACCUUUCGAUGAGUAUUUGGAUGUUCCUAAUAUUCCAAUUCAACAUGUUCUAGUGGAUUGCUUGCUGGAAGUCUUUGAUGUGAAAAAAAUAGCUUCAAAAUUGGAGGAAAAUGGACCUCUUUUAGUGUUCAAGAUGUUGCGAGAAUUACGGGUCUCCCGAUAGGAGGAUCUAUUGUAGAUACGAGGUUCCAUAGAAGCGAUCGCGAGACAAUCUACAAGCUCGUGCUAUCAUUUAGGUCGAAGGCAGAAAUUGUGGAGGAUAGGAAGUGUAGGACUAGGAGAGGAAAGAAGAAAACUAACGAGGGAAAGAAGAAGAUUGUGUGUGUGCUAGAAGGGGUAGGAUGGGUGAACUUAUUGAGGAGAUGGCUGAGCGUAGAGAUCCUCUUGUGCCACAGAUGCUCGUGGUUUUCAUCAUAGGCUUUAUAUUAUGUCCUCAAGCUAAUAUGGGUUGCCCUUUGUUUGCCUUUAGAUAUGCUGAGAAAUUGGAUACUCUUAAUGAGUACAAUUGGGCAGAAGCAGUGUUUAAUGUGUUAAGGACUGAGAUGGUUAAAGCUAAAAAGACCAUCACUAAGAGGUCUGAGGGAAAUCGAUGUAGAGGUGGUUAUAUGGGGGGCUUUGCAUCGGUUUUGGUGAUAUGGUUUUAUGAGCUUGUGGGAAAGUUAAGCCUUCGCGUAGGAGCUAAAUCCCUACCACCUAUCCUAAGCUUCUAUAAGUGUCCAAAACCUUUACGGAGGAAUGCGUUGCAGAAUUUAGUUAGAGACCCGGAUAAUUUUAGCCAAUAUCAUAAGGGCUCGAGGUCUCUAAAAUUUCAAAAGAGGAUUGCUGAAGCUGUCACUUCCACUAAAGAAGCUGCUUCUUCAAAAUUCAAGGGAAAUGUAUAAUGGUUUAUUUGUAUGUAAUGUUACUUUUCCUAUUAUUAUGUGGGUUCAAAUAGUAAUUUAAUGUGUUUUUUUGCUAAAAUGGAACUUAUUAUUCGAUGUUGGUGAAUUAUAUAUGCUUUCGUUGGUUUGAUUCAUGAAUGUAACUGUACUUGGGUUGUUCACAUGUAGGUAAUCACUGAAGCUGAUUUGGAUCAGCUCAUCCAUGAAAAAAAAGUUGAAUUAAACCUUCUCUUGAAGAUGAAGAGGGAAAUAUUCGGUGGAAGGCAAGAGGAUGUCGAUAGUGAUAGCGGAGAUGAGGAUGACGUGGAUGAUGAAGAUGAUAGUGAUGGAGGCGAUGAGGAUGGCAGGAAUGAGGAGGAUGAUAGAGAUGUAGGCGAAGGUGAAGGUGAAAGUGAUGAUGGAGUAGGAGAUGAGGGUGGUGGUGGUGAUGUGGAUGAGGAUGAUGGAGAUGUAGAUAGAAUGAAUGUAGAUAAAGAUGAUGGUGGAGAUGGUGCUAAUGACGAUGUAGACAUGGAUUCAAUUGAAGUGGAUGAUGACGCAUUUCUGCUUAGCCCGCGCGAUAUUGCGGUGAUUGAAGACAAGCGUAAAACCCCUUCCGUUAAACGAACGGUUCUAUCGAGAUCGCGGCUCGUCAGACCAUCUACACGUUCUCCCUUUGUCCCGCUUUGUAAUUGAAAAGGUGUACCAAAAUAUCCGGGAAGGAAGGAAGUAAGGGAUGAUGAACGAGACUACUCGAUAACUUUUGGAAGGACAAAAAAAUGACAAUGUAAGGAAUAUCGAAAGACCUAUUUUAUGACUUUUAUUGUGUUUUCAUUGACACAUUUAGUAAGUUUUUUUCAUAUAUAGGGAGACGUUAGUGUGGUCAUCAAGUGAUGCUUUGGUAACUCGUAAGGAUGCAUUGGAAUUAUUUAAAGGAGAAGCAAUUAGUUGAGACGUUAUAGUCUCCUAUGUUGUGCUUCUAAAUAUGUUGAUGGAGAUGCGUCCAAAUUAUGCAAAGGACAUAUACAUUGAGGGUUACUAUAUGCAUCAACGAAAAUAAUCCGUCAAGUGUCGAACGCAUGUUUAAGGCAAUAACUAGUACACGUUUCCUUGCACUUGAUAAGAUUAUUUUCCCACUUCUAACUUCAUUUCAUUGGCAUAUGUUGGUGUUAUCUAUAAAAGAUAGAAGGUUUCAUCAUUACUCUUUUCAACACGGAUAUAUGUCUGAUGCCAUUGAUUUUAGAGUGAAGCUUAUGACAUCCAUCCCUGAUGAGUGGAAUAUGGAUAUUAGCUCUUGUCAUGAGGUAGAAAGUGUUGAUGUACCUCAACAACGUGGUAGCCUAGAUUGCGGGGUGUUCUUGAUGUUAUAUAUGUUUAGCCUCGUAUCCGGUCAAGCAAUUUCAAUAGAUCAAAAGGAUUGUGCAAGACAUAGAGCUCAUAUCGUAGCUCUAUUUCUAUCUGAAGUUGAUUUCAGGAUAUAAACAAUCACCGCAAGCUCACUUCCCUGGAUGCUAGAUGCCAUCUAUCCUUUUUUUUCCUGUUGAUUGUUGUAAAUCAUCAAAUGGCAUCUAUACUUUUAUAUUUCGUCUACUAUUCUUUGAAGGCCCUUGGGCAAUUUCAAUGUUGAAUUUGGCCCUUCGAAGCUUACUGAUCCUUCGAAGAUUGGUGGGCUGUUGAAUGGGUUGGAAACUAUGAGGAUGAAUAACCUCUUUUGGCAGUCUUGAUGGUGAAUCUUUGGUGGUUUUUGCUUUGAAGAAUCAGAGAGCAGGAAGCUUUGUAGGAAUGAGCCAUUAUAGCAAACAAAAACAAAGCCUUUAACCCAAGUUUGCAACUAUCUAUUACAUUCUUUAUUAUUCUUUGCAUGUUGAGAGUUGUUUAUAUACAUAAAAUUGUUCCUAAUGAUGCUUGUUUAAGCCGUUGAGCCUCCGAGACGAGUAAUCAGCCAGCUAGAAAAGGAAAAACAAUAAAGAAGAGGGAAAACUGGAUUUAAGUUAAAAUUGUUCUGUAAUAUGUGUAUCUGAAAUAUGUGUGAGUAUGUUUUGUAACAUUUCUCAGCUUUUGACUAAGUUUGUGCCUGUGAAUGUAUCUGAAAUACGUGUGAGGAUGUUUUGUAACAUAUAUGUGAGGAUGUUUUAUAACAUAUCUCAAUUUGUGCAA